UUACCCCUCGCCUUAUCGACACUACAUCAGACGCCAUCAAACCCACAUCUCUUAUAUCUCUCUCCUUACUCGCUUCAGUUUCUGGUGGACCUUCAGCGUACCACCUCCUUCCUCACCCUCCUUCCGCCGCCGCUGCAACCUAUAGAAGGUCACCGAACAUCCCUUCCCCCAUUAACUAUCAUGUUCUCAAUCAAAUCCUCAUCCUUAUUCAACCUUACUCUAUGCGAAAAACCUAGACCACUAAACAUAGUCGUUAUCAAUGGUUUACUAACAUCCAUCACACAGGCAACAUACCACCACAAAUUCUCCGCCCUCAUCACCCAGAACAUUUGGGAGAUGAUUCAUCUACUCCACUUCUAAAGUUGAACACGAUAAUCAAAGAACCAGGGAGCAAAUUAGGAAUUAGAUUUAGUAACUUAAUUUCUUUCUGGGAAAGAAAAUGAAUCAGGGUGAGAUUAGCCCUGUUACAUGUUGGAUUUUAUCACUCACAUGCCCUUUUUCAAGUUGUUUUAGGUAUGGAUUGUUCAAAUUCUCCUGAUGUUGGUUUUUUCUUGGCUUAUUGUCGUAUUGGGAAUUUUAAUGUUGUAUACAAAUAAAUAGUUUCUAUUGUUAUGUUUACAUUCAGAUUAGCUUUUCGAUCUACUGAAUUGUAGGCAAAUAAAUAGAGAUAAUCAUGUAAGCUUUUAUUGGUUUGUUGAAUGACGAAAUUAUAAAGGGGUCAAGGCUAUAAAGUGUUUGCUCACCAUUUUCUCAGGUAAACAGAGAAUCUGAAAUGAUGGAAGAUCUUGAACUUCAUUAUCUUGAGGAUUACCCUCUCCAGGAAAAAAAAACUCAAUAAGCAUUUGAAUAGGCAGUUGUGUUGAUGAAAUGGAUGCAUGUAUGCAUUAAGUUGGCAUUUGAUUUGGACCUAGUACUUAACUUCGAUUAAAACAAUCUUCACCAAAAAGGUUUAUAGCAACUAGAGACCAGCACUAGUGAGUAUUUCAGUUUUUCAUGUUUGUUUUUCUUUGAUAUCUAAACCUUAUAAAAAAUUAAUUUUUAUUC